GUAUAUAGUAAGAGCGAACUGUUUGACCAAAGCUCUUGCUUGCUCUCCCUUGAUGCAUGGCUAGGCCAUAGACGUGAAACAAAUCAAACGCUGGAAACACGAGAGACAAACGACAAGAUGCAGCAGGCUGCAUGCAUGCGCGUCAACCUCCUUUGAUGGCUACCACAAACAUGGAGCUCGGGCUAGCUGUUGCUUGGUGAUACAUACUCGUGGGCUGGUGGCACCUGACCCGAGUCUUUUCUCUAC
rnacentral:lncRNA from 1 species